GACAAGUCAAGUGACACGGGUUCAGAAAACUCAAUGUUAGAAGCAACCUGGCUAGUUAUAUCAGAAUCAUUUCCAGAUGAUGCUUCCAUCUUCAUUCGCUUAUAAUAAUCCAAUACAACAGAGGGACCAAUUCGCAGAAUUUUGUGAUCAAAAUAACAGGAUCUAACAAUACCAAUGGACUACAUCUGCAGCACUAACGUCGUCCUGUGGUAGCAUACAUAUUUUUG
rnacentral:misc_RNA from 1 species